rnacentral:rRNA from 1 species
CCAGGCAUAAAUAAAUAAUAACUUUACCAGAGUACUACGAAUCAUAAAUUUAAAACUCAAAGAGCUUGGCGGUGCUUUAGACUUUUCAGGGGAACCUGUCUCGUAAUCGACAAUCCACGAAUCGACCUCACCUUUUUUUGCUACACAGUAUGUAUACCGUCGUCGUCAGGUAACUUUUAAAAAUAUAGAAGUUAGCAAAAAAACACUUAGUUUUCACGUCAGAUCAAGGUGCAGCCCAUAAAAAGGAGAGGAUGGGUUACAAUUAAAACUCAUAAUUACGGAUAUUAGCUUUAACGGCUUUUUGAAGGCGGACUUGAAAGUAAAACCUAGUAGUUAAAUGUUUUGAAUCAAGCUCUGAAGCG